UACGGAGGGUGCAAGCGUUAUCCGGAUUCACUGGGUUUAAAGGGUGCGUAGGUGGGCAGGUAAGUCAGUGGUGAAAUCUCCGGGCUUAACUCGGAAACUGCCGUUGAUACUAUCUGUCUUGAAUAUCGUGGAGGUUAGCGGAAUAUGUCAUGUAGCGGUGAAAUGCUUAGAUAUGACAUAGAACACCCAUUGCGAAGGCAGCUAACUACACGAUCAUUGACACUGAGGCACGAAGGCGUGGGGAGCAAACAGG
rnacentral:rRNA from 1 species